rnacentral:rRNA from 1 species
AGAGAGAGACAUGCGCGCAUAUCAAUAAGCGGAGGAAAAGAAACUAACAAGGAUUCCCCUAGUAACGGCGAGUGAAGCGGGAAGAGCUCAAAUUUGAAAUCUUAAAGGGUUUCCCUUUACGAAUUGUAGUUUAAAGAAGUGUUUUCUGUUGAGGUUUUGGUAAAAGUUCUUUGGAAUAGGACAUCAUAGAGGGUGAGAAUCCCGUAUUUGACCUUUACUUUCAACUUUGUGAUACACUUUCAAAGAGUCGGAUUGUUUGGGAAUGCAGUCCAAAAUGGGUGGUAAAUUUCAUCUAAAGCUAAAUAUUGGCGAGAGACCGAUAGCGAACAAGUACCGUGAGGGAAAGAUGAAAAGAACUUUGAAAAGAGAGUUAAACAGUACGUGAAAUUGUCAAAAGGGAAGCGUUUGACACCAGUGUUGUUUUUCUGAAAAUCAACUAAAGAACUGUUUAUGCUAAGUUGUUUAGACUUUAUCAGCUAACUGUUUAGUUUUGAGCUUUUCUUUAAUGCACUUUUCAGUUAACAAGUCAACAUCAAUUUCUUUUGCUGUAAAAAAGCUUGAGGAAGGUGGCUUGAGAUUCGUCUUAAGUGUUUAUAGCCUCUUGCCUAUGCAGUCGGAGAGAUUGAGGUCUGCAGCGUAGAUCCUUCGGGGCUAAAUGCAUUUGUGCUAAGUUAUAGCAUUUUAUAGACAACUUGUUGACUAUGAUUUGUCUUGUAGCUUACUCGCUUAUGUUAUUUUACCUACGCUUAGGAUGUUGAGCGCAUGUCUCUCUCU